rnacentral:rRNA from 1 species
CGGAGGAUGCAAGCGUUAUCCGGAUUCAUUGGGUUUAAAGGGUGCGUAGGCGGACUAUUAAGUCAGUGGUGAAAGCCUGCAGCUUAACUGCAGAACUGCCAUUGAUACUGAUAGUCUUGAGUUUGGUUAAGGUAGGCGGAAUGUGUAAUGUAGCGGUGAAAUGCUUAGAUAUUACACAGAACACCAAUUGCGUAGGCAGCUUACUGAGCCGACACUGACGCUGAGGCACGAAAGCGUGGGGAUCGAACA